CCCGCACGGAGCCCUCCUGAACCUGCAACUAACCUUCGCUUUGGACAAAUACCUGGAUUCCUUUCCUGUAUUAUUAUUAUUUUUAACUUUCUGGUGGGUUCGGAUAUUUGGGUGGAUUUUUUUACCCUUUCGACGUCGUAUUUAUCGAGUGCAGGAUCUGCAGGACGGCAGCGGCAACCCUCUAGGAGCAGCAUCCGAGCGCUCCUCCAGCCCAGAGGCAGCGGGAAGGGAAGAUUUUACAUUUUCGGACUUAUUUUUAGCGCUCCUCGGAGAGCACGAGCGGCUCCGGGCGCUCCAGCCGCGCUCCGAUCCCCUUCCAGGAUAAAUAAGCGGGAUCGAGGCGGUUUCCUCACGCUCCCGGGCAGCUGGGAGGAGCAGGGCGCCUAUGGAYGGACGGAGGGACAGACACACGGACACGUCCCGUGGUGACGGCUCCAUUGGAGAAGCGAUUCCCGGUGCGCCCGUGGCUUCGGAUGGGGAUCACGGCAAGUGCAGCAGCAGCACCCGAAGUGAGCGGUUCUGGCCCCAAAAGAGCGCCAUGAAUCCCGGAUUUUCCUAUCCCAACUGAGAGCCAUCUCCAGGUACCAGGAGCGCGGGCGUGAACCAUCGGAAUCAGACCCGGAGCAACCACACGGGGAGCUGGAUUUCCCUCAGCUUAAUGACACUUCCCGGGUUUUUGUGGGAUUUGGAGGAUUUUGCAGACAAUUGGUGCAUUUUCCCCUGGCUGUUGCCAGCACCCGGCUCCACAAGCGGGAUCCGCUGGACUCUUGCCAUGGAUGCUGCUUCCACGGCCCUGGAAUUCCAUCUGGGGUUAUUGGAGGGGUGGUAGUUGAUGAAGCACGUUAAGAACUGGACUUUGAGGGAAACAGGACUGCCGUUCCCUGCGGAAUUCCGGCUUUCACGGAGYAUCAACCGGGAGCUCCGCACCCCUUCAAUACAACCGAGCUAACACCCAUUUUAAUGGCUGCUUAAUUAGAUUUUCCAUAGGGAAAUUUGCGCGGAAGUUGCAUUUCU